rnacentral:rRNA from 1 species
AUUGAACGCUGGCGGCAGGCCUAACACAUGCAAGUCGAGCGGAUGAAGGGAGCUUGCUCCUGGAUUCAGCGGCGGACGGGUGAGUAAUGCCUAGGAAUCUGCCUGGUAGUGGGGGAUAACGUCCGGUAACGGGCGCUAAUACCGCAUACGUCCUGAUGGAGAAAGUGGGGGAUCUUUGGACCUCGCGCUAUCUGAUGAGCCUAGGUCGGAUUAGCUAGUUGGUGAGGUAAAGGCCUACCAAGGCGACGAUCCGUAACUGGCCUGAGAGGAUGAUCAGCCACACUGGAACUGAGACACGGUCCAGACUCCUACGGGAGGCAGCAGUGGGGAAUAUUGGGCAAUGGGCGAAAGCCUGAUCCAGCCAUGCCGCGUGUGUGAAGAAGGUCUUCGGAUUGUAAAGCACUGUAAGUAGGGAGGAAGGGCAGUAAGUUAAUACCUGGCUGUUUUGACGGUACCAAAAGAGUAAGCACCGGCUAACUUCGUG